rnacentral:tRNA from 1 species
GACCGGGGUAGAUCAGGUCGCCCUGGUCGGCUUUUAGCCGGACCAGAGACUCCAGCGCCUGGAUCUCACCGGUUCGGCAAUCGAUCCGCGGCUGC